rnacentral:lncRNA from 1 species
GUGACAGUAAAAUAUGCAGUGUUGAUGCAGGAGCAGGGAAAGGUGACGCUGAUUCUGCUGGUAAGGAUGUAAAGUAAUACCACAUUGCUAGAGAUGAACUUUGCAAUAUACAUCAAAACUUUUCAAAUGUGUAUACUUUUUGAAUCAGAAAUUUUAUUUCUGGGAAUUUAUCAGACAACUUCAAAGAUAUUUGUACAAGUGUUGAUUAUUGCAUGCCUUGACCAUGCUCCCUUCUGUCUACCUAUAAUCCUUCCUGAAAGCAAGGCCAACUUUUCUACCAGAUAACCCUGACCUCAUCCUGUCAGAAUUGAAUGGACCAAGAAUUGAGCUACCCUAAAAGGCCAGUUUUCUGGAAAUAGUUUGAAGAUACCGACUCAUGGUUAAAUGUUUCACAUUUACCCUCAGAAAUGAGUGCUACUGUUCAGAAACGGAGGUGCCCACUUUGCUUGUGGGAUUUAGGAGGAAAUGCCACACACUGUCAUAGAAAAAAUGGCGUCUCACUCUAUUGCCCAGGCUAGAGUACAAUAGUGCAAUCUUGGCUCACUGCAACCUCCCCCUCCCAGGUUCAAGCCAUUCUCCUGCCUCAGCCUCCCGAGUAGCUAGAACUACAAGCACGUGCACUGUACCCAGCUAAUUUUUUGUAUUUUUAGCAGAGACGGGGUUUCUCCAUGUUGGCCAGGCUGGUCUCGAACUCCUGACCUCAGGUAAUCCACCGCCUCAUCCUCCCAAAAUGCAUUAUCUCUUCCCAAAAUGCAUUAUCUAUUUCAUUAAGAAAAAGGAGAAAGCAACCAUGCUAAGCUUCAAAUAAAAGCAUGUGAGCACACCUGAUGACGCUAGACCCACUGGAAUCUCGCAUAACUCAUCCUGAACGUGUUGGGAAUCAAGUCUCUCAGGAUUAGCCCUGGUAAUCUGAAAGUCACCAGUCAUCAAGAAGUGGCAUCUCUACCAUGUGGUGCAAUCAUAGCCCUGAACUCAAAUUUCUGUCUGAUAUAUUUGAUGUGAUCCCUCCUUUUAUACCCUUUUAACUUCUGCUUGGAGAGACCCACUGACCUUGUAGCUGACUGUCAGAACUUUUCCUUGCCAGGCCAGCAAUAAAUUUGGCAUUGUUUUGGACAUUGAUUUGGUGGUCUUUGUUUCUUAGUGCUCAACAAUUUUAAUAGAGUCAGAAUCCAGAGAUAUAAUGGAUAAGCAGACUAUUAAUAAAGCACUAUUCACAAUUGCAAAGACUUGAAACCAACCCAAAUGCCCAAC